rnacentral:rRNA from 1 species
GUGAGAGUGUUGGGUUAAGUCCCGCAACGAGCGCAACCCUUAUCCCCAGUUGCCAUCAGGUAAGCUGGGAACUCUGGGGAGACUGCCGGUGGAUAAACCGGAGGAAGGCGGGGAUGACGUCAAGUCCUCAUGGCCCUUACAUCCCGGGCUACACACGUGCUACAAUGGCAGGUACAGAGGGCUGCGAAGCCGCGAGGUGGAGCGAAUCCCAGAAAACCUGUCUCAGUCCGGAUUGAAGUCUGCAACUCGACUUCAUGAAGGCGGAAUCGCUAGUAACCGCGAAUCAGCAGGUCGCGGUGAAUACGUUCCCGGGCCUU